ACGCGAAGAACCUUACCUGGACUCGAAAUUUUGUUGACCGUCUCAGAGAUGAGACUUUCCCGCAAGGGACAGCAGAAUAGGUGCUGCAUGGCUGUCGUCAGCUCGUGUCGUGAGAUGUUGGGUUAAGUCCCGCAACGAGCGCAACCCUUACCCUUAGUUGCCCGCCCGCAAGGGAGGCACCCUAAGGGAACUGCCUCGGAUAACGAGGAGGAAGGUGGGGAUGACGUCAAGUCCUCAUGGCCUUUAUGCCCAGGGCUACACACGUGCUACAAUGGCCGGUACAAAACGUCGCAAACCCGCGAGGGGGAGCCAAUCGCCAAAAACCGGUCUCAGUUCGGAUUGCAGGCUGCAACUCGCCUGCAUGAAGCUGGAAUCGCUAGUAAUCGCGUAUCAGAACGACGCGGUGAAUACGUUCCCGGGCCUUGUA
rnacentral:rRNA from 1 species